GACGAACGCUGGCGGCGUGCUUAACACAUGCAAGUCGAACGGAAAGGCCCUGCUUUUGUGGGGUGCUCGAGUGGCGAACGGGUGAGUAACACGUGAGUAACCUGCCCUUGAGUUUGGGAUAACUUCAGGAAACUGGGGCUAAUACCGGAUAGGAGCUCCAGCUGCAUGGUGGGGGUUGGAAAGUUUCGGCGGUUGGGGAUGGACUCGCGGCUUAUCAGCUUGUUGGUGGGGUAGUGGCUUACCAAGGCUUUGACGGGUAGCCGGCCUGAGGGGGUGACCGGCCACAUUGGGACUGCGAUACGGCCCAGAAUCCUACGGGGGGCAGCAGUGGGGAAUAUUGCACAGUGGGCGGAAGCCUGAUGCAGCAACGCCGCGUGCGGGAUGACGGCCUUCGGGUUGUAAACCGCUUUCGCCUGUGACGAAGCGUGAGUGACGGUAAUGGGUAAAGAAGCACCGGCUAACUACGUG
rnacentral:rRNA from 1 species